UACGAACUGUGCGAACGUUAUUCGGAAUCACUGGGCUUACAGGGUGCGUAGGCGGCUUAACAAGUCAGGUGUGAAAGCCCACGGCUCAACCGUGGAAUUGCGCUUGCAGCUGUUCGGCUUGAGUAAGCUAGAGGCAUGCGGUACUUCCGGUGGAGCGGUGAAAUGUGUUGAUAUCGGAAGGAACACCAGAGGCGACAGCGGCAUACUGGGGCUUGUCUGAGGCUGAGGCCCGACAGUCACGCGAGCAAUCGGG
rnacentral:rRNA from 1 species